rnacentral:rRNA from 1 species
GGGGAUGCUCAGGCGUCGACGGGUAGCCGACCUGAGAGGGUGACCGGCCACACUGGGACUGAGACACGGCCCAGACUCCUACGGGAGGCAGCAGUGGGGAAUAUUGCACAAUGGGCGAAAGCCUGAUGCAGCGACGCCGCGUGAGGGAUGACGGCCUUCGGGUUGUAAACCUCUUUCAGCAGGGACGAAGCGCACGUGACGGUACCUGCAGAAAAAGCACCGGCUAACUACGUGCCAGCAGCCGCGGUAAUACGUAGGGUGCAAGCGUUGUCCGGAAUUACUGGGCGUAAAGAGUUCGUAGGCGGUUUGUCGCGUCGUUUGUGAAAACCAGCAGCUCAACUGCUGGCUUGCAGGCGAUACGGGCAGACUUGAGUACUGCAGGGGAGACUGGAAUUCCUGGUGUAGCGGUGAAAUGCGCAGAUAUCAGGAGGAACACCGGUGGCGAAGGCGGGUCUCUGGGCAGUAACUGACGCUGAGGAACGAAAGCGUGGGUAGCGAACAGGAUUAGAUACCCUGGUAGUCCACGCCGUAAACGGUGGGCGCUAGGUGUGGGUUCCUUCCACGGAAUCCGUGCCGUAGCUAACGCAUUAAGCGCCCCGCCUGGGGGGUACGGCGG